GAUUUGAAGGUUGUUCCCUUGAGGAGUGGCUUUCGGAGCUAACGCGUUAAAUCGACCGCCUGGGGAGUACGGCCGCAAGGUUAAAACUCAAAUGAAUUGACGGGGGCCCGCACAAGCGGUGGAGCAUGUGGUUUAAUUCGAUGCAACGCGAAGAACCUUACCUACUCUUGACAUCCAGAGAACUUAGCAGAGAUGCUUUGGUGCCUUCGGGAACUCUGAGACAGGUGCUGCAUGGCUGUCGUCAGCUCGUGUUGUGAAAUGUUGGGUUAAGUCCCGCAACGAGCGCAACCCUUAUCCUUUGUUGCCAGCGAUUCGGUCGGGAACUCAAAGGAGACUGCCGGUGAUAAACCGGAGGAAGGUGGGGAUGACGUCAAGUCAUCAUGGCCCUUACGAGUAGGGCUACACACGUGCUACAAUGGCGUAUACAAAGAGAAGCGACCUCGCGAGAGCAAGCGGAACUCAUAAAGUACGUCGUAGUCUGGAUUGGAGUCUGCAACUCGACUCCAUGAAGUCGGAAUCGCUAGUAAUCGUAGAUCAGAAUGCUACGGUGAAUACGUUCCCGGGCCUUGUACACACCGCCCGUCACACCAUGGGAGUGGGUUGCAAAAGAAGUAGGUAGCUUAACCUUCGGGAGGGCGCUUACCACUUUGUGAUUCAUGACUGGGGUGAAGUCGUA
rnacentral:rRNA from 1 species